AGCUUGAGCGAGAGAGAGAGAGGAAGAGCUUGGGCUUAGCAUGGUCGAGAGAGGGAAGAAGAUCGAGAGGGUGAGCUGGGGCGGCCAUGGCCGCAAGCAGCUAGCUCCCAACAGCCGCGACCGGCAGCUAUAGCAGGGGCUGGGAACGGUCGCAAUGGGUGCUGGACGCACGGAACAGGCGGCGAGUGAAGGCCGAGAGGCGGCCGUUAAAGGCAACAACGAAGGCCGAAGUCGGCCAUGGUAGCAGCCAUGGAAGCACCGCGAGGCAGGGGAGAUGGCCGCAGGCGUGGUGCUGCGUUGCAGUGGCUGCGGCUGUGCACGGUGGAGGCGCGAGUAGCUCGCGGUGGCGAGUGCGGCUCAGCCGACGGGAGACGCCAGCAGCGGCGAAGGCGGCAGCAAGGCCGACUGGUGCGGUGCGGCAGCUGGGGAAGCUGGUUCGUGGGUCACGCGGGGAAGAAGGAACAGAGGCGCGGUGCAGAGAAAAGAAGAAGAAGAAGAAGAAGAAGAAGAAGAAGAGAAGGAAGAAGAAGAAGAAGAAGAGAAGGAAGAAGAAGAAAAGAAGAGAAGAAAGAAAGAAGAAAAAUGGAAGAAGCUGGGCGUUGCAGGAAGCAGGGGAGGCGCAAGGAAGAAGAUGAAUAGUAGAGGAAGAAAGAAAAAUAGAAAAGAAAAAGAAAGAAAAAAAAAAAGGAAGAAAAAGAAAAGAAAAUUGGGAAAAAUGUCGAAAAAUCCUAGAAAAAAUCCCAAAAAAUAGGUAAUGAAGAUGUAAUGAUAUCCCGGAGAUUUGGAUGAGAAAACGAGCCGAGCACGCUUUUCGAGAAUAUGGCACGCAUAUCGAGGAAAUCGGAGAUGCUAAGUCAAGGAUACUUUGAGGCUGAAGUUGAAGAGACUCGUGCAAAUUUUGAGGUUGGCACGCAAAUUGAGGCAAGAAUUUCGAGGUAGCCCGAUAAACUCUAAAAGAUGAGUAGAGCAACCAGAAGGGCAAGGGUGUGGUUGAAGCAUGAUCGUGAUAGAGGUUAUUGUGGGCCCUAUGCAGGGCUAAGUUCCAGUUGUUUCGUUUAUCUAUGUUAUGUGGAUUUUAAUGAUUAUUG